rnacentral:rRNA from 1 species
GACGAACGCUGGCGGCGUGCUUAACACAUGCAAGUCGAACGGAAAGGCCCUGCUUUUGUGGGGUGCUCGAGUGGCGAACGGGUGAGUAACACGCGAGUAACCUGCCCUUGACUUUGGGAUAACUUCAGGAAACUGGGGCUAAUACCGGGUAGGAGCUCCUGCUGCAUGGUGGGCGUUGGAAAGUUUCGGCGGUUGGGGAUGGACUCGCGGCUUAUCAGCUUGUUGGUGGGGUAGUGGCUUACCAAGGCUAUGACGGGUAGCCGGCCUGAGAGGGGGACCGGCCACAUUGGGACUGAGAUACGGCCCAGACUCCUACGGGAGGCAGCAGUGGGGAAUAUUGCACAAUGGGCGGAAGCCUGAUGCAGCAACGCCGCGUGCGGGAUGACGGCCUUCGGGUUGUAAACCGCUUUCGCCUGUGACGAAGCGUGAGUGACGGUAAUGGGUAAAGAAGCACCGGCUAACUACGUG